rnacentral:rRNA from 1 species
GCGGUAGCGGAGCGUUCUGUAAGCCUGCGAAGGGCGACCCGUGAGGGCGCCUGGAGGUAUCAGAAGUGCGAAUGCUGACAUGAGUAGCGUUAAAGGGGGUGAAAAGCCCCCUCGCCGUAAGCGCAAGGUUUUCUACGCAACGUUCAUCGGCUAGAGUGAGUCGGCCCCUAAGGCGAGGCAGAGAUGCGUAGCUGAUGGGAAACAGGUCAAUAUUCCUGUACCGAUCAAUAGUGCGAUGUGGGGACGGAGAAGGUUAGCUCAGCCAACUGUUGGAUAUGUUGGUUCAAGCCUGUAGUCGUGCCUGGUAGGCAAAUCCGCCGGGCUUAGAUGAGGGGUGAUAACGAGGCUGCUUGCAGCCGAAGUGAGUGAUACCCUGCUUCCAGGAAAAGCCACUAAGCUUCAGCUAUUGACGACCGUACCGCAAACCGACACUGGUGCGCGAGAUGAGUAUUCUAAGGCGCUUGAGAGAACUCGGGAGAAGGAA